UGAAAGUUUGCUGAUGUUAGGUGCCUCCUGAACGUCCGACUCUAUUCCUGCAGCAUGCUGACUCUGUAGCGAGCGGUCGAACACAGCAUCCGUAUUCACAACGGCAAACUGACCGUGCUUGUGCGAAUGAGAAAUGUUUCCUUCUAGCCUAGUGGGAAAUACCUUCAUGUUGAUAGGAGCCUGCUGUGGUAGAGCCUACGACGAACAAGUUGGCGCCAUGGACAUAUCCUAUUGAAAUUCAACAUCAGGCGGGUCCUUAUAUGAGCGUGAAUGUGUUUAGUUCCCGACGCUUGGAACACCAAUGAGUGUCCAAGAAGUCGACAACGAGAUUACACUUAUGUACAUUAUGAACGACUUAUCAACCACGAUCCCUCAAUGACUGAGAAGUGGACAAAUCAUCUCAAUAACUCCUGCUCGUAUUGGAAGUCGUAACCCACUCAUCUUCCGCUGGAUUCAAUCCUUCGGGUGGCUGGCAUCUAUACAGCUCAUCUUCCGGAUAACAACAACUCGCUGUGCCCUAGGAAUACUGAUAGCCAUUGUCAUUUCUAGUCUUAGAAAACCCAGAGAUACAAAAUGACGUUCGAUCCACACAUUGAUGCGUCAAAUGAAGCAGAAGAAUCCUCUCAUGAGACAGAAACACUUAUAUCCUGUAAUGACCAAACGCCGGAUGAGGUACCAGUGAAAUUUAUACGAGGAAAUAAUAUAUUACUACUUUAAGUAGAUCGUACGAUCCUGGUGAAUUUAUGGUACUGACUAACUGCCACAUUAUGUUGACGAUUCUAGUAGCUUUUUGUCCUUUUAAAUCCUGUCGUCAUGUAGUAAAGAAUUAGAGAGUAUGAGAAUUGCUUCAGCAAAGAAGAAAUAAAAGGAAACAAAG
rnacentral:sRNA from 1 species